GACGAACGCUGGCGGCGUGCCUAAUACAUGCAAGUCGAACGCUUUUUCUUUCACGGGAGCUUGCUCCACCGAAAGAAAAGGAGUGGCGAACGGGUGAGUAACACGUGGGUAACCUGCCCAUCAGAAGGGGAUAACACUUGGAAACAGGUGCUAAUACCGUAUAACAGUAGAAACCGCAUGGUUUCUAUUUGAAAGGCGCUUUUGCGUCACUGAUGGAUGGACCCGCGGUGCAUUAGCUAGUUGGUGAGGUAACGGCUCACCAAGGCAACGAUGCAUAGCCGACCUGAGAGGGUGAUCGGCCACAUUGGGACUGAGACACGGCCCAAACUCCUACGGGAGGCAGCAGUAGGGAAUCUUCGGCAAUGGACGAAAGUCUGACCGAGCAACGCCGCGUGAGUGAAGAAGGUUUUCGGAUCGUAAAACUCUGUUGUUAGAGAAGAACAAGGAUGAGAGUAAAAUGUUCAUCCCUUGACGGUAUCUAACCAGAAAGCCACGGCUAACUACGUGCCAGCAGCCGCGGUAAUACGUAGGUGGCAAGCGUUGUCCGGAUUUAUUGGGCGUAAAGCGAGCGCAGGCGGUUUCUUAAGUCUGAUGUGAAAGCCCCCGGCUCACCCGGGGAGGGUCAUUGGAAACUGGAGAACUUGAGUGCACAAGAGGAGAGUGGAAUUCCACGUGUAGCGGUGAAAUGCGUAGAUAUAUGGAGGAACACCAGUGGCGAAGGCGGCUCUCUGGUCUGUAACUGACGCUGAGGCUCGAAAGCGUGGGGAGCAAACAGGAU
rnacentral:rRNA from 1 species